rnacentral:rRNA from 1 species
ACCAAGGAAAAGGAGCCGGUAUCAGGCUCAGCUUUAAGCCCACGACACCUAGCCACGCCACGCCCACAAGGGUAUUCAGCAGUGAUAAACCUUGUUUAUAAGCGCAAGCUUGAAUCAGCUAUGGCAAAGAGGGCCGGCAAAUCCGGUGCCAGCCGCCGCGGCUACACCGUUAGGCCCAAGUUGAUACACACCGGCGUUAAGCGUGAUUAGAGUGAUUACACUGAUUAGAGUUAAACCCAAACUUAGUCGUGAUACACUUGUUCCCGGGAAACCCAAAAACGAAAGUUACUCUAACCAACCCACUUGACCCCACGACAGCUAGGACACAAACUGGGAUUAGGUACCCCACUAUGCCUAGCCGUAAAAUAUACACUCACCCCAUAAAUCGCCAGGGAAUUACGAGCCCAAGCUUAAAACCCAAAGGACUUGACGGUGUCCCACCCACCUAGAGGAGCCUGUUCUAUAAUCGAUUCCCCCCGAUAAACCUCACCACUUCUGGCCAACUCAGCCUGUAUACCUCCGUCGUAAGCUUACCAUGUGAACGAAGCCAGUGAGCCAAAAGAUCCAACAUCAGUACGUCAGGUCAAGGUGCAGCUAACGAACUGGAAAGAAAUGGGCUACAAUUUCUACCAUAGAACAAACGAAAGGCUACAUGAAACAUAGUCACUGAAGGCGGAUUUAGCAGUAAAAAGAAAA